rnacentral:rRNA from 1 species
UGGGGAAUUUUGCACAAUGGGGGAAACCCUGAUGCAGCGACGCCGCGUGAUUUAGAAGGCCUUCGGGUUGUAAAAAUCUUUUUUAUGGGAUGAAAAUGACAGUACCAUAAGAAUAAGGUCCGGCUAAAUACGUGCCAGCAGCCGCGGUAAUACGUAUGGACCGAGCGUUGUCCGGAAUCAUUGGGCGUAAAGGGUACGUAGGCGGCCCAGUAAGUUAGAAGUGAAAAAAUAUAGCUAAACUAUAUAAAGCUUUUAAAACUGCUAGGCUUGAGGGAUGGAAGGGAAAGUGGAAUUCCUAGUGUUGCGAGGAAAUGCGUAGAUAUUAGGAAGAAUACCCGUGGCGAAGGCGACUUUCUGGUCAUCAUCUGACGCUGAGGUACGAAAGCGUGGGUAGCAAACAGG